rnacentral:rRNA from 1 species
UAGGGAAUCUUCGGCAAUGGACGAAAGUCUGACCGAGCAACGCCGCGUGAGUGAAGAAGGUUUUCGGAUCGUAAAACUCCGUUGUUAGAGAAGAACAAGGACGUUAGUAACUGAACGUCCCCUGACGGUAUCAAACCAGAAAGACAAGCCUAACUACGUGCCAGCAGCUGCGGUAAUACGUAGGUGGCAAGCGUUGUCCGGAUUUAUUGGGCGUAAAGCGAGCGGAGGCGGUUUCUUAAGUCUGAUGUGAAAGCCCCCGGCUCAACCGGGGAGGGUCAGUGGAAACUGUGAGACUGGAGUGCAGAAGAGGGGAGUGGAAUUGCAUGUGUAGCGGUGAGAUGCGUAGAUAUAGAGAAGAACAGCAGUGGCGAAGGCGGCUCGCUGGUCUGUUACUGACGCUGAGGCUCGGAAGCGUGGGGAGCAAACAGG